ACUCCUACGGGAGGCAGCAGUGGGGAAUUUUGGACAAUGGGCGAAAGCCUGAUCCAGCAAUGCCGCGUGAGUGAAGAAGGCCUUCGGGUUGUAAAGCUCUUUUGUCAGGGAAGAAACGGUGAGAGCUAAUAUCUCUUGCUAAUGACGGUACCUGAAGAAUAAGCACCGGCUAACUACGUGCCAGCAGCCGCGGUAAUACGUAGGGUGCAAGCGUUAAUCGGAAUUACUGGGCGUAAAGCGUGCGCAGGCGGUUUUGUAAGUCUGAUGUGAAAUCCCCGGGCUCAACCUGGGAAUUGCAUUGGAGACUGCAAGGCUAGAAUCUGGCAGAGGGGGGUAGAAUUCCACGUGUAGCAGUGAAAUGCGUAGAUAUGUGGAGGAACACCGAUGGCGAAGGCAGCCCCCUGGGUCAAGAUUGACGCUCAUGCACGAAAGCGUGGGGAGCAAACAGGAUUAGAAACCCUUGUAGUCCC
rnacentral:rRNA from 1 species